rnacentral:lncRNA from 1 species
UCUUAUGGAUUCUCCUUAUGGAUUCUAUAGAUACCCUCAAUCCAUUUGAUCCUAUCACAGUCGCAGAAGGAGGCCCAAAUCUUUGAAAGGUUGACAUUGUAAUAUGGGAUCUACCCAUCUGAAAACCCAAUACCCGGAUCCUCUGAUUGAAUUUUCUUGUGCUAUUCCUCCAAAUCUUAUCUCCCUCGAACCCGAAAAAACUCAAAAUCCAUAUCAGUAGACCACCACCACUGCACCUUCUCGAUCACCAAACCUACUUCGAUUCGAGAACAUCUCAAAAACCCUAAUCUUGAAAUCGCCAUUGCCCAUUUAGUUUGGAUAUUUUAUCAAUUAUUCAUGUUUAGUUAUUUUAUGUUGUAAAUAUGUAAAUAUGUAAAUAUAUUUAUUUUGUGUAACCAAAUUCAUUAUGACGAAAUUACCUUUUAUAAAUAUUUAAGCAUUUAAGUAGCACUGAAAUUAAAUGUUUUAGUUCUAUAUAGUUGUUAUAUUUUAAUAAGAUAGAAGAGAGAUUAAUAAAUUAUGGGUAAAAAACAAACUGAACCAAACGAAACUAACCGAACCUAAAUCGACGCAAGUCAAAUAAUUGUCUAGGUCCUAACCACUCGGUUAUAGUUUUUAUCAGCUCAAACGAUUCGGUUUGGUUUAAA